rnacentral:rRNA from 1 species
UACGGGGGGGGCAAGCGUUGUUCGGAAUUACUGGGCGUAAAGGGCUCGUAGGCGGCCAACUAAGUCGGAUGUGAAAUCCCCAGGCUUAACCUGGGAACUGCAUCCGAUACUGGAUGGCUUGAAUCCGGGAGAGGGAUGCAGAAUUCCAGGUGUAGCGGUGAAAUGCGUAGAUAUCUGGAGGAAUACCGGUGGCGAAAGCGGCUCACUGGACCACAACUGACGCUGAGGCGCGAAAGCUAGGGGAGCAAACAGG